GGGAAUUUAAACCCCUUUCAGAGUAACAAUUGGAGGGCAAGUCUGGUGCCAGCAGCCGCGGUAAUUCCAGCUCCAAUAGCGUAUAUUAAAGUUGUUGCAGUUAAAAAGCUCGUAGUUGGAUGUCUGCUGGAAGCAAUCAGUCCGCCCUAUUUGUAGGGUGUGCACUUGAUGAAUUCUGGCAUCUAUGUCCCAAUAAUGUGGUGGUGUAUACCCUGUGUAUUACCCAUCUAUAUUGGGAUAAUACCGUUACUUUGAGAAAAUUAAAGUGUUUGAAGCAGGCUAAUUGCCUUGAAUACUGCAGCAUGGAAUAACAAUAUAGGAUUUCGGUUCUAUUUUGUUGGUUUCUAGGACUGAAAUAAUGAUUAAUAGGGACAGUUGGGGGCAUUCGUAUUUAACUGUCAAAGGUGAAAUUCUUAAAUUUGUUAAAGACGAACUACUGCGAAAGCAUUUGCCAAAGAUGUUUUCAUUAAUCAAGAACGAAAGUUAGGGGCUCGAAAACGAUCAGAUACCGUCGUAGUCUUAACCAUAAACUAUGCCGACUAGAGAUAGGAAAAUGUCAUUUUUCUGACUUCUCCUGCACCUUAUGAGAAAUCAAAGUCUUUGGGUUCUGGGGGGAGUAUGG
rnacentral:rRNA from 1 species